AGUGUGUUGAUGCCAUUUCCAUGGCAGACUUUCUAGGCUGAAGAUUUCUGAAAUCUCUGGAAGUUGCCCUGGACGUGGUAUUCAAUGCCU
ensembl:miRNA gga-mir-1626 gga-mir-1626